CCUACGGGGCGCAGCAGUGAGGAAUAUUGGUCAAUGGACGAGAGUCUGAACCAGCCAAGUAGCGUGAAGGAUGACUGCCCUAUGGGUUGUAAACUUCUUUUAUAUGGGAAUAAAGUUUUCCACGUGUGGUAUUUUGUAUGUACCAUAUGAAUAAGGAUCGGCUAACUCCGUGCCAGCAGCCGCGGUAAUACGGAGGAUCCGAGCGUUAUCCGGAUUUAUUGGGUUUAAAGGGAGCGUAGGUGGAUUGUUAAGUCAGUUGUGAAAGUUUGCGGCUCAACCGGAGAAUUGCAUCAGAAACUGUUGAA
rnacentral:rRNA from 1 species